UAAAGUUUAUUAACCAGAAGUAGAAUCAUAUAUCUAAUUAAAAAUAAACAACUAAUAGAUUUCGUUCCAUUACAAAAAUAUAUAUACAUACACUUAUGCGUACACAUUAAAAGUAUUGCUAAUAGAAAAUCAAUGGAAUUAUAGAAAACAUUUCAUUGUAAAUUGAUGCCGAAAAUAACAAAUACCCUUCAAUAAUGUAAAAUUUUUUCUUUUUCUAUCAAGUUUUAAUUUCUUUUCUAAUCAAUUUAAACAUUUUUAGUUCAUAAUGAAUUGUAUCAAUAACAAUAUCAGACAUGUAAUUUUGGCUCCUUGCAGCACAAAGGUUGCUCGUUACUGUCUAUACAAUAUAAUAAAAUCUCAAGUAAUACCCAAGAGAAAGACUACUAUAUACUUUGUGUAUGUGUGUGUGGGUGUGUAUAUUAUGUAUCUAGUUAUGUACAUAUGUACAUAUAUACAUAUGUAUCUAUUUACAAACGUAUGUUUAUAUGGGAUCUUCCAACAUUCCACCUCGGUGGUUGCGGAAAGACUGAUAUCAUACGAUAUUCGACCAAAAGUAAAUAAGAUAAGGUGUAUUUAGAUACUUCAGCUUAUAUAGAAACAUAUAAACAUUGUAAUAAGAUUUGCUUUGUAUAAGUCCGCUAGUAAAUUCUAUAAACAUUCUCUUUUUCUUUCAGGGUAAUAAUAUUAUAUAUAUAUAUUUAAAUUUUUUUAAUUUAAUUAGUUAAUUAAUUAUUUUAAUAAUGAUUGAUUUUAUAACGAAUAUUUUUAAGGUAAUCUUGGCAUUGUUUGUACAUGUAUAUUAUGUACUAAU